rnacentral:lncRNA from 1 species
AGGUGAAACAGUUAUCAUUCAUUGGUGGUAAAAAUCUAGUUGAUACAAUUAAAAAUAUUUUGCUCUUACUGCCAACAGACACUAUUUUGUCAGAAUACAGCAUGAAUUGUCUAAAGAA